rnacentral:rRNA from 1 species
CCUACGGGAGGCAGCAGUAGGGAAUAUUGCGCAAUGGACGAAAGUCUGACGCAGCAACGCCGCGUGAGUGAUGAAGCUUCUUGGAGUGUAAAACCCUGUCAGUGGGGAAGAAACGUAUGGGGAGUAACUGCCCUGUACCUGACGGUACCCACAGAGGAAGUCCCGGCUAACUCCGUGCCAGCAGCCGCGGUAAUACGGGGGGGACAAGCGUUGUUCGGAUUUACUGGGCGUAAAGGGCGCGUAGGCGGACCUUCAAGUCGGAUGUGAAAACUAUUGGCUUAACUGAUAGCCUGCAUCCGAUACUGUCGGUCUUGAGUACAGGAGAGGAGAGCGGAAUUCCAGGUGUAGCGGUGAAAUGCGUAGAUAUCUGGAAGAACACCGGUAGCGAAGGCGGCUCUCUGGACUGAUACUGACGCUCAAGCGCGAAGGCUUGGGUAGCAAACAGGAUUAGAUACCCUAGUAGUCC